AUUGAACGCUGGCGGCGUGCUUAACACAUGCAAGUCGAGCGGUAACAGGUGUAGCAAUACAUGCUGACGAGCGGCGAACGGGUGAGUAAUGCUUCGGAAUCUUCCUCGUAGUGGGGAAUAACCUGGGGAAACUCAGGCUAAUACCGCAUACGAACUACGGUUGAAAGCAGGGGAUCGCAAGACCUUGCGCUAUGAGAUGAGCCGAAGUCGGAUUAGCUAGUUGGUGGGGUAAUGGCCUACCAAGGCGACGAUCCGUAGCUGGUCUGAGAGGACGACCCGCCACACUGGGACUGAGACACGGCCCAGACUCCUACGGGGGGCUGGAGUGGGGAAUAUUGGACAAUGGGCGAAAGCCUGAUCCAGCCAUGCCGCGUGUGUGAAGAAGGUCUUCGGAUUGUAGAGCACUUUAAGUUGGGAGGAAGGGUUGUAGAUUAAUACUCUGCAAUUUUGACGUUACCGACAGAAUAAGCACCGGCUAACUCUGUGCCAGCCGCCGCGGUAACAC
rnacentral:rRNA from 1 species